UACGUAGGGGGCAAGCGUUGUCCGGAUUUAUUGGGCGUAAAGAGCGUGUAGGCGGCCAGGUAGGUCCGCUGUGAAAACUCGAGGCUUAACCUCGAGAUGUCGGUGGAAACCAUCUGGCUAGAGUCCGGAAGAGGAGAGUGGAAUUCCUGGUGUAGCGGUGAAAUGCGCAGAUAUCAGGAAGAACACCCGUGGCGAAGGCGGCUCUCUGGGACGGU
rnacentral:rRNA from 1 species